AGAAUUUUUGUCAUUUUGAAUAAAUUUUAGCCAAUGGCUAAAGAGUAAAGUACUACGUAAACCAGUAGAGUACUACGUAGCAGCUCCGUGCCAAAGUUAUAAAAGCAACGAGCGUCUCGGCCACGCCCUGUGGCGAGUGGGAGUUGGAUUUGCAAGCGAGCAUAGGAGGUCAGCGGUAGUUCAGCAUUAGCAUAUAGCAUUAGCAUAUCCUAGUCUUAGCAUAUCUUUUAGUGUUAUAAAUACUUAUUUAGUGUUAGAUUUGGCUGUUGGAUAUUGUAGUUGAGUUAGUGUUUGGCUGUUAGUGUAAUUGGGAAAGUAUUUCUGGUUUAGUGUUCCAUAUCGUCUUAGUAUUGGUGAGUAGGUGUAGUGUAGUAUGCUUGCGGUGACUCUGUGGGCAUUUUACCCGCGAUUCUGCGCGCCUCCGUUUGAAGAGGGAGGCUGCCCACCGUGGCUCUUCCGCGAUUUAGAUGCAGCCCACCGACUCUGCUCCCCCACCACGGCGGGCUCCAGUCUGAGGUGAGUCAGCUAAAUAAACGUUUUAACAUCUUCUAAAGACAAUUCCCUACCUAAAUGCAAAGUCUGAGAGACGUGGUUCACUUCCUUUAGCUAGUCAGUCGGCAAUUCUGCAACAGUGUCUCUAACUAACGCUGCACUAGUUGACAGACAGCAUUACAGCGUGAAAUCCAGCUUGUGAACAGGUUCUGUAAGGAAUUCUGUUCAGGAGGUCGCAUUUCAGGCUCUCCACAUCAUAUGUGAUGGACUUUUACGUUAUAACAACGAUCACACACUAGGAAUGUUAUAAAGCGCCUAUAUAGGAGAUUCUUUUAUAUAUUAUCUGACUUUAUAAACUCCAACAACAAUGUGCUUCUAUUUUUUUUUUCAGGCUAAAUCUACCCAAGACACUGGCUGUCAGACUGAUUUAGCUGCAUGAAUGUACUUGUCCAGGCUGAUGUGAAACCUUCCCUGUAGCAAAGCCAUCCAGUUUAGAGCUCACAGCCGCAGUGUGUCUGGUGACCCACAGGGACCAUGAUGAAAAUUCAUCUUCCAGAAGGUCCCAGAGCGUCCAGACCCCCUGAAAAGACCAAGAUGUGAGGUGUCUGCUGUUGAUUCCAGCUUCCACCUCAGUGACAGUGCAAGCUCAGUGAACUGUUCAAGCCUGGCUGAUCACCUGAUAACCCCUGUCAUCUGGUUAUGACAGCAUGAGGAUGUCCUCACACACCUGUAACCUAUCAGCUCAUCCUGCUGAAUAGAGAGAGAAGAGACCACACCACAUCUCCUGUUCCUGGAAAGCCUUCAGCCAUCCUUCGAUGACUGAGAACCUCCAUCAGCUCUGUCUCCUGUCUGCCUACAAUUAUAAUAAAU